rnacentral:rRNA from 1 species
UACGAAGGCCACAAGCGUUAUCCGGAUUUAUUGGGCGUAAAGGGCGCGUAGGGGGCGCUGGAAAGUCUGCGGUUAAAUCUCGGGGCUUAACUCCGAAAUCGCCGUGGAAACUUCCGCGCUAGAGAGCGUUAGAGGUGGAUGGAACGCACGGUGUAGGGGUGAAAUCCGUUGAUAUCGUGCGGAACACCAAAGGCGAAGGCAUUCCACUGGGACGUUUCUGACCCUGAGGCGCGAAAGCGUGGGGAGCAAAAAGG